rnacentral:lncRNA from 1 species
AUGCAAUAUCAGCAUGCUGAUGUAAUUAGGAAUUCAUACAACAUUUGUCCACAGGAAAGCAGCUUUAAAAAGAUUGUCAACACAAAAUCAUUUACUGGACACAACAAGAUUUCCUGUGAUGAGAAGAUGAAAACAACACAUAGCUCUGCUAAGAAAAUGAUCACUGAACACAAGGUGGAACUCAUCAACUGUCUGAAGGCGGAUCAUUCUUAUAUUCUGCAGCAUGCACAUGUCAAACAGAUCAUCACAGACACACAAUAUCAGGAUAUUAAGGAAAAGUCUCCCUCAACACCACGAGAAACUGUCACUGAUCUGAUUGAUGACGUGAUUUUUAAGAAUGGACCAGAAUCCUGGACUGCUUUUCUUGAAGUUCUCAAACUGCCUGAUGUUCUGAGCACUUAUCCACAGCCCAAAGAAAUCAUGAAUAAAAUGCUGCGCAGCAAUAGUGGAAGAAGUGCAUAAGAUGUGAUUUGUAAUGUAAAACAAACAGUUGUAGGCUAAAUGUGCGGAUUGUGGAUACGCUAAACUGCAACAAUGAUAUGAUUCAAAUGAGGCUGUUUAAGUCAUUUUGUACCUGCCAGUUUUUCUACUCAAAAUAUCAAGUCAUAUUUUUUCAAAUCAACCCUUUUCCUUCUAAAAUGCACAUAGAAGGAUCACAGCAACAGUGUUUUUAUUUGACAUAUUAUAACUAACAAUGAUUUUGUCAUGUGAAAAUUAAUGUCAGCAUAAAAUACUAAUCCUAGCUUCGAUGAAAUCACAUACUGAAGGCCUCAACUUUUAUCUGUCAUUGGGUGUCAUGUUGAUACAUUUUGACUGUAUUUUCCUGUAUUAGUAUAAACUAAGGACAUUAAGGAUGCUGCUGCACAUAAUCUACAAAAUUGGUGAUUGUUUUGUUCUUUUUUAGGGGGUUGCCAUGGUAAUGAAAUGUGCAGUUUAAGAUGCAGAUCUCUGUAACCCAGUUCCAAUCAUCCUCAUCAUCACACUAGCAUAUCUGUUGUUGUUUUUAACUUGUCUGCCUGCCUG